AUGUUGGGGUCGUCCAUCCUACUACCCUCCGGCUACUCGAUGACCCCCUACUGUCUGCGGGUGCCUGGCCUGGCUGUCGGGGUCCCCCCGGUCCUCCCCCCUCCCACCCCCUUCCUUACCUGGCUGCCCAGGCCCGUUGAGGGGGUGGGAUGGGGUCGGGGGGGUCCUCCAGCGGGGGGUCCGGGGUCGGGGGUCCCGGAAGGGGGUCGGGGGGUGGAUGGUGCGGCCCCCGCGCGGGCUGCGACCUGCCGUCUAAGCGGGCCGGAGCGGACUGCGGCGGCCGCCGCCGGAGCCCUGCGCACCGCCUCGGCCCCGCCCCCGCCCCGCCCCUCCUGCUCCCCCCGGUUGCUCCCCAAGAUCCUCCCCCGACCCCCCUGCUUGUUCUCGGCUCCCCCCGGCUGCUCCCCUGCCUGCUCCCCCGCAUCCCCCGGCUCCCCCCGGCUGCUCCUCCGGACCCCCUGGCUGUCCUCGGCCCCUCCCCUGGCUCCCUCCGACUGCUCCCCCGGCUCCCCCCGGCUGCUCCCCCCGAUCCCCCUGGUUGUUCUCGGCCCCUCCCCUGGUUCCCCCCGGUGCUCCCCUGGCUACUCCCCCGAAUCCCCCUGGCUGCCCCCAGCUGCUCCCCCGGCUGCUCCCCCAGAUCCUCCUGACUCCCCUUGGAUGCUCCCCCUGGUCCCCCCGCUGCUCCCCCGGCUCCCCCGGCUGUUCCACUGGAUGCUUCCCCGGAUCCUCUUGGCUCCCCCCGGCUCCUCCCCUGGCUGCUCCCCCGGCUGCUCCCCUGGCUACUUCCCCGUAUCCCCCUGGCUGCCCCCAGCUGCUCCCCCGGCUGCUCCCCCAGAUCCUCCUGACUCCCCUUGGAUGCUCCCCCUGGUCCCCCCGCUGCUCCCCCGGCUCCCCCGGCUGUUCCACUGGAUGCUUCCCCGGAUCCUCCUGGCUCCCCCCGGCUCCUCCCCUGGCUGCUCCCCCGGCUGCUCCCCUGGCUACUCCCCCGUAUCCCCCUGGCUGCCCCCAGCUGCUCCCCCGGCUGCUCCCCCAGAUCCCCCUGACUCCCCUUGGAUGCUCCCCCUGGUCCCCCCGCUGCUUCCCUGGCUGCUCCCCCCGGUCUCCCUGGCUGCCCUCGACCCCUUCCCUGGCUCCCCCGGCUGCUCCCCCGGCUCCCCCUGGCUUCCCCCCGGCUCCUUCUCUGGCUGCUCCCCCGGAUCCCCCUGGCUCCCCUUAGCUGCUCCCCUGGCUUGCUCCCCCGAAUCCCCCCGGCUGCCCUCGGCUCCUCCCCUGGCUCCCCCCGGCUGCUCCCACGGCUGCUCCCCCAGAUCCCCCUGA
rnacentral:lncRNA from 1 species